rnacentral:lncRNA from 1 species
CACUCAUCCAUCACACCCAUUACAUCCACUCAUUACCAAACAUUCAUCCACUACACCCAUUACAUCCACUCAUUACCAAACAUUCAUCCACUACACCCAUUACAUCCACUCAUUACCACAACACUCAUCACUACCACCUUAAUUAGAUGGUGGUCCUCUCCCUAGCCUAUAAAUACAUCCACCCUUCACCAUAACAAGGGAAAAGAAAAACCAAAGAGAACACAAUCCACCCAUCCACCCUUCACCAUAACUCACCUAUAUCCAUCCACCACCAUAAUUUACCACUCAUCCAUCCAACCACACCUUGUGCCGCAACAAAGAGAAGAAGGAGGACCCUUGGACGUGCUUGCCAUUCAAGUUGGAUUGUUGGAGCGUUUUUAGGUGUUUUCUUUCUUUUGUUUUCAAUGUCUAAAUUUGUUUAUCUUUGCUUUGUAAGUAUGAGUGGCUAAACCCCUAUUUAGUUAGGGGGAAGUUUGAAGCCAUGAACAUGUUUGAGAUUUAAAUUGAUUUCUUCCAAUUGUGAUUUGAUAAGUUGUGAUUGCAAUUCAAUUAUCUAUUUUAUUCAUAACUGAUUCUUGUAUGUUUAUUAAGGAUGCAUACUUAGUUUCAUGCAUGAAUUAGAUGCUAGAAUAUAAAUGAGUUUCACCUAAUCGUUACAAGUUUAUAUUCAUGAGUAGUGAAGGUUGUUUAUCACAAUCGCGUUAAUUGAAUUCUUGGCAUAAGUUUCAUGCAAUUCAUAGUUACAAGUGUUUCGUCAAUGCUUAUGAUUUCAUAGAACUUAAUGAUUCUUGCUUGUAUCUCUAUUAUGCAAUUCAUGUAGGGAACUUGUGGGGAAUGCUUUGGGUUGUUGUAUGCAAUCAUCCAAUUCAAUGAAAUUAGGAAAAUCUGAGGAUUAAUUUAAGCGUACCUAAUUAAUCUGGGGUGUUGAGCAUCAUAGUUUAUUGAAAAGCAAUUGGAAAUCAAUUCAUAUACAAGUGUGUCAUGUGUGAGAAACGACGGACCUCUAACUAAUCCAUCUAUCAUCUUAUUUCUUACAUUUGUUUUACAAUCUGCCUAGUUUUAUAACUUGUUUGUUUGUUUCAAAUUCAUCAAAACUAAAAUCCCCCUUUUACUUUCUUGUUUCAAAGUGUUUAAAAUCUGUUUGUUUGUGUUUUAGAGUGUUUUGAGUCAAGUCAAAACCCAAAUUUCGUCCAAAGUUGUGUUGGAGUCAGAAACUGCCUUAGUUUGUGUUUUUAGGCAGUUUUGAGUGUCUUUAAGUUAUUUUGAGUCUUGUGAACCUGUUUUGAGUUCUUUAAGUCUAUUCAAACGUUUUUAACUUUGUUUUUAUGUUUUUGAGUUAGUUUAGAGGUUUUAGCAAGCCCUCCUAAUCCCCGGUUUAGAACGAUCCCUAUUUGCAUUAUUACUACAAUUUGACAACAAGAGGGUUUAAUUUGUGUGUUAAGUUAAUUUUCGCAUCAAAUUUUGGCGCCGUUGCCGGGGAUUAGCAACUUUGCUAAUCCCCCGUUGUUUCUUUUUAUUUCUUUUUCGUGUCUUUUGUUUUAGUUACUGACUUUUGUUUCUUUUCGUGUCUUUUGUUUUUAGUUUCUUAUUUGGUUUUGUUUUGUUUAUUUUAAUUUUUGAUAUUUGAUUUAGUUCUCUUUCUUUGAUUUAAGAUACUAAAGAAGUAGGACAUGGAUUUUUCUAGCAUUCAAGCUCAAUUGGCCAAUCUUACUUCUCAAUUGUCGCAGUAUGCCGAAAGGACCACAAUGCAAAGUGUCCCUACAUUUGGUGCGUCUUAUAAGCAAGGAUAUCAAGCCAAUCAAUGUCCACAAAGAGAUUGGAGUGAUCAUUCAAACUCUAUGUGGUGGAAAGCUCAACAAGUUCAACAUGAAGCAUAUUGGCAGCCAUAUGAGGAGUUUUAUUCAAGACCUAUGCAGCCACUACAACCUCAUAUACAAUAUGUUCAAUCAAACUCAGAUUCGUCAAUAGAUUGCAAUCAAAUUCUUAAUGAAUUAAACUCUUUGGUGCAGGGCUCACAACAAGAAGAAUAUUUGCCGCCAUCGGAGGAGUUCUAUCACUGGCCAUAUGAACCAUCACAGCCACCACAACAAUCUGCCCAAUUCAAUUCAGGUACGUCUUUGGAUAAUGAUAUGUUUAAUAAGUUACUCACCUCUUUGAACCAGGAAGUAGAAAAUCAAAACAAAGAGAUGCAAAAUCAAGCCAAGAAGACGAGUGAAUUGGAGAAGCAAACUGAGCAGAUUAUGGAGUUCAUGGCACAAAUUCAAGAGCAAAGUGAACUCCCCAACUCAACUAUUGAAAAUUCGAAGGAAGAUUUUGAAAUCCAUGAUGCUAUCACUUUGGGAAGGGCUAUGGAGGUUGGAGCUAACCUAAAAACAUCCAAACAUAACCUAGAAGUGGAUAAGAAGCUGCUGAUUGAGGAGGAGGAAGAAGACAUACACACGGAAAGGGUAGAACAACCCUUGCCGCAGCCCCCUAAGCCCUCUAAACCACCCACCACAAGUAAGGACGUCCCAAUUUCAUUUCAUUCUAAUGUUAUUCCUCUGAACAUCCCUUUUCCUCCUAGGUUUUUGAUUCCCAAGAAAGAAGAGAGUAAAAAAACAUUGUGGAAGCCUUCCUAAAGGUGCAAAAUGAUAUUCCAAUUCUUGGUGUAACAUCAAGUUCCAGAUUGUGUUGAAAUGUUCAAAGGACUUUGUACACCAAGAAGAAUGAUUCAAGAGAAAGUAGUGGCUGGAGAAGAUGUAGAAUGCAUCAAAGAGGAUGUGAUUGAGACAACCAUUCCUAAAGAAGUUGAAUUUUAUGACACGGGACAAGUCAUAACUCUCAAAACACUAGAUCUGGCCAAGUCCCAUAUCCCUGCAACCUUCACAGAUGUGGUGUUCGUAAUUGAGUUUGUGUUGGAGCAAGAAAGUAAGCCAUCUUCUCCAACUUCGAUUUUAUUUUAUACUAACUUGCUGAUUUUAAUGAUUCAGGCACCUACACUAGAAUUUAAACCGUUGCCGGAUCACGUCAAGUAUCACCUUCCAUUUAAGGAUCAAUUCCAUGCUAUGGGCCCUAUCUAAGUUUAGAAGGAAGUUUCGUCCGGCUGAAGGACGUUAAAGCCAGCGCUUCUUGGGAGGCAACCCAUGUAUUCAAAUAAGGAAGAUUUUUGAAUCGCUUCACAAUUAGUUUUGCGUUUCUAAAAACCUUCCCUUUUCUGCAUUUCUAUUUUGCCAUGAUUGUCAUUUUUUAUUUUUUUUUUAUUUAUUUUUUUUGUUGUUUAUUUAAUUAUUUUUGGGUGUGGGUUUAUUUUUGAAACAUUGACAGAUAUACAAGGUAUUCUUACAUUCAUUUUCAUGAAAAAAAGGAACAUUAAGCAGAAAAUUACAAAAGGGAACCUUCACAAAGGCUGCUUAGGAGAAGUCUCAGUAGUCCGCGGAGCCUCAGCAGUCAGCGGAGCCCCAGAAGAAGGAGGCAGAUGAGGUUGAUCAUUUGGAGCUUCAGUACGCGGUACAGCCCUAGAAGACGAAGGCAAAUGCUGUUGGAAUAAACCCACAAAACUUUGAUGAUCAAGUAAGAUCUAACCAUCAGAUUCCUGCAUUUGGUCAAUUUUCCUCUUCAUGUUUGUGGCAUAGUUGUGUGCGAGCUUGUACAACUGUUUAUUCUCAUGCUUGAGCCCUCUAAUCUCCUGUUUGAGACUCAUCACUUCAGCCGCCAACGAUUCAACUUGACGGGUUCGAGCAAAUAGGCGUUGGGCCAUGUUGGACACAGAACCCGCACACUGCACACUAAGAGCAAGAGACUCCUUAACAGGCAACUCAUCAGACCGUUUGAAAGCAGUCUGUUAUCUUUAGGAGUGACAAGGUUCCUGGCCACCAUCGCAGCUGUCAUAUCAUUCUUCAUCACUAAAUCCCCAACGGUAAGGGGGCCAGUAGGGGAUAUGAAGGAUGGGCGCCAUAUGUUGUUUGGAGAAGGCGGGACUACCUCUUCACCAAGGUUCAAGUCAAAACGACGGUCGGAAGGGCCAGACAUUUUCAGAGGUGUUAAAGAAAGAAGAGGUCGGGCAAGUCAAGAUCGUAGAAGUGCAAGAAGGGAGUUUCUACAGGCAGAAAUUCAAGUGUGCUUUGAACGUCCUGCGUACCUCUAUAAAAAUCAGCACGCAAUGGGAUUUCAGAGAUCGAAGAGGCGAGCUCAGAAAUCGAAGAGGCCAACUAAAAAAAUCAAAGAGGCGCUAGCUUUCUCAAAAGCUGGGCUUGCUCAGAAACCACGGCCAAUCUUCUUUUCCAGAUUUAUCCGCACUUGUCACAUGCAACCUCUGCACUCGACGGGAUUUCAGAGAUCGAAGAGGCAAUUCCAGAUAUCGGAGAGGCAUCUGCUUUUUCAGACGUGUCAGCAUCUGUCACAUACAGAGUAAGCUUUGCAAAAAUCACGGGCAGUUUGUCGAAGCGCCGAUUCCAACCAUCUGUUUUUUCCAGACGUGUCAACAUCUGUCACAUGCAGAGUUAGCUUUGCGAAAAUCACGGGCAGUUUGUCGAAGCGUCGAUUCCAACCAUCUGUUUUUCCAGACGUGUCAACAUCUGUCACAUGCAGAGUCAGCUUUGCGAAAAUUAUGGGCAAUCUGUCGAAGAUCUCUUGUGAAGUUCACUAUUAAAUCAUCCAACGGUUGCUGACAAGAGUGAAAGAACAGUACCGAUUAUUAUUUCCUAUAAAUGUCGACCUUCACCCUCCAUGGCAAGGCAGACAUACAUAACCUUCCGUCAUCUCCGAGAAUGCCUUUCCAACAAACCCUUUCGAGUCACUCAGUGUUCCUUAUUCCUUAGGGUACCUCUGCAAACAACUCAUCGAAAGAAAAAGUAUUUCAUACCAUGAAGGUUGAAAGCAAGAGUAUCUCAUAUCAUGCUUUCUCCCUGUCAUUCUCCUUGUCGUUGUUUUAGGACAAGGAGAAAGAGAUCAAUCAGCCAGCACUUGGUAUCAAUCUUCUGAUCUGGAACCGACUGCUUGGAACCCCUUCCUGAUUGCUUACCUAGCCUUGCUCUCGAGUACUCAUCUUCAUCAUCUUAUGCUUCCUCUUCGUCUACCACAUCUGCCUGGGGAACAGAUAAGGAAAGUGAAAAUGAUACCUCGAAGCAUUUGAAGAUAAUUUGCCAAUUCAUCCUCAGCUAGGGACAAGGAGAAAGAAAGCAAGAGGUGGGCACUUGGGAAGAUUGAAGAAAGAAACAGACCAACACCUCUACCUCGUGCCUGCCUGCCGUGUAGAAGAAACAAGCAGAGAAGAAUGCAGACUGCACAAUCAAAUCAACCCAGCAGAAGGAGUCUGAAUUGAAACUAAGGAACUCUCAUAUUCCUCGCUCAGAAUUCCAAACCAGUUCGAGAUCAAAGCUGUGGAAAGACAACAAGAUCAUCUAUCUCCAAAACCAGAUUUGCGUUCUUAAACUUUACUCUGUCUAUUUUUUACUUUGCCAUACUUGUCAUGUUUAUUCGUUGUUUGUUUGUUUGCUUGUUUUUUGUGUGAGUUUAUGCUUGAAACAUUGAGGACAAUGUUUGAUUUAAGUGUGGGGAGGGGUAACUAUUGUUUUGCAUGAAAUUCGUAGGAGUUUAUCACCCAUUACUUCUAGUGUUGUUCCUUGUUGUUUUAAGUGUUUUUAAGCUAUUUUAGAGUGUUUCAGUGUGUUUUGACAUAAAAAUCCAAAAAUCUCAUAAAAAUUUGAAAAAUUGUUUUGAAAAACCCAAAAAAAGUUGUUUUUGUAUGUUUAUUUUGUGUCUUAGGGUACCUUCCAACACAAUGAUGAGGAUUUGGUUUUUAAUUACAUGACUGUUAAAGAGAGUUAUAUACAUGGAUGAAAAUUUGAUUUACUCUUUGGUGUAUGCUUGGUUGUGGUUAUAAUUUAUGAAUUCACAUGCAAUCAUAAAGGAAAAAUCAGUUUUGUAACAUGCUUGAAAGAAGGAACUCAAAUGUACAUUACAACCUUGUGAGACUUGAGCCUAAACGUUUAUUUGGAGAGUUAAUAAUCUGUGCAUCAUUGUUUCUAAAGUCGUUGCAUGAUCUCAUUAUUCUUUGCUUGGUUGCUACUUAGAAGGCGUUUCAUCAGUUAGUUCCAAAUGCUAGAACUCAUGCCUAUUUCAUUCAAAGCAUGUUAUUGAUUUGCAUAAUACAUAUUCAAGAUGAAGUUGUGUAGUGACCACCACAGCCAAAUUGCCGUGCCCUAUUUCAUUAUGUGUUUAAGUUUAACCCCGUUGAGCCUUGUGUAGCCUAUGUUCUUUGUUAACCCACACUAUCCUCACCUAACCUAGAUUAGGACCAUCCAUACCCUUGUUCUUGAAGCAUAGUAAAACAUAAUUUAGAAGGAAUUCCUUUUGUUGAACUUUUGCAGAAAAACAAGUGUGGGGGAAGUGAUUCUUGUGUGUGUGUGUGCCAAAGUCCUUAAUAAGGCACGGGUAGAAAAGAAAAAGAAAAAAAAAAGAAACAUUCGUGGAAAAUAGAAUGAAAAGAAGAAAAGUGAUGAAAAAUAGCUCUAAAGUGUUGUUUGUUGAAGAAAGGGUCCAAAACAUUGAAUUCGGCCCUAAGUACGGCUUGAAUCUUCCCGUUCUGUUGAAAAGUUAAUUUCUGCAUUAUUAAGUGAAUUCCAAGCGUCUAUUUCAUUACGUUGCUUGCUAUUGCUUUUAGAAUGUUUGUUAUCCCUAUCCUUUCUUUGUUAGCCAUUACCCUUAAACCCCGUUACAACCCUUAACUUCAUCUUGAGUGUCAUGCAUUUCAAUAUGUGGAGUUUGGAAUUGGUAUUAGCAUAUGGUGUCACUGGUUCUUGCAUCUAAGUAGUAGCAUUCCAUUCAUGAGAUCAUAAUAACUCCAGAAAAUUGCUUUCUUUGUUAUACAUAUAUGUGAGUACUAGUUUUCAUGUUUACAUCAAUCUUUUCACAUGUACCUAGUGUAGGGUGUGUAGCCAGAAAAUCUGAGUGAAAAUUGAGUGCAUAUUUGUAAGGAAUUGAGCAAAUUCUCUAAGGCAUGUUACUACAUUCAAAACAUCGUUUUAAUUGGUUAAAUGUGAACUAGUAAGUGGUGACUGUGAUUAAGUAUGUGCUCAAGUGUUAAGUUGACUAAAAUCUGUGGGAAUGAUGACUUUUAACUUGUCAUGUGCGUUGGAAAUCCCUAAGGCAAACGUUGGAAGGUUUAGGUUGUGUUUUGUUUUCUUUAUUUUGCUCGAGGACUAGCAAAAGCUAAGUGUGGGGGUAUUUGAUAAGCUCAUAUUUAUAUAUAUUUUACAUAAAAUUCACUUGUCUUUUCUUAGUUAGUUCCUUAUAUUUUUGAGCUAUUUACUAUGUUUUUGUGUUUUGUGUGAUUUAUCAAGCAAAGAAAAGAAAAGUAGCACAAGUGAAUUUUUUAAGUAACAAAUUCGUCAAAACUGCCUCUGCAGAUUAGCUGACUUUGAAAGCAUGUUACGAACAGCUCAGAAUGAAUGAGAAAAUGAGCCUUAUAUGCGUGGAAAGCUACGGAUGUCUACUUUCUGGAGCAAUUUACGGAUUGUUAAUAUCAUGUUUCUAGAAGAAGGUAUGGUCAUGGUCAUUGUAACACUGAAAGGUUCAGAAACAUGGACAGCACACACACAAAGAGAAAGGCAAGGCAUGGACAGUUUGACAUGGGCAGAAAAUGGGUGGAUUGUUGGCUGAAAUAAUGAAGAACAUGUGUGUGCAAAUGAAAAGGAAAAACACACACACAUGGGCAAAGGAAACACACACACAUGGGCAAAGGAAACACACACACACAUGGGCAUAAAAUGGGUUGAUUUGUGGUUGAAAUGAUGGAGGUCAUGUGUGUACAAAUGUAAAGGGAAACAUGGACAUCACACACUCAUCCACCACACCCAUUACAUCCACUACACCCAUCUCAUUACCAAACAUUCAUCCACUACACCAUUACAUCACUCAUUACCAAACAUUCAUCCACUACACCCAUUACAUCCACUCAUUACCACAACACUCAUCACUACCACCUUAAUUAGAUGGUGGUCCUCUCCCUAGCCUAUAAAUACAUCCACCCUUCACCAUAACAAGGGAAAAGAAAAACCAAAGAGAACACAAAUCCACCAUCCACCCUUCACCAUAACUCACCUAUAUCCAUCCACCACCAUAAUUUACCACUCAUCCAUCAAACCACACCUUGUGCCGCAACAAAGAGAAGAAGGAGGACCCUUGGACGUGCUUGCCAUUCAAGUUGGAUUGUUGGAGCGUUUUUAGGUGUUUUCUUUCUUUUGUUUUCAAUGUCUAAAUUUGUUUAUCUUUGCUUUGUAAGUAUGAGUGGCUAAACCCCU